AACGAACGCUGGCGGCAUGCCUAACACAUGCAAGUCGAACGAGACCUUCGGGUCUAGUGGCGCACGGGUGCGUAACGCGUGGGAACCUGCCCUUAGGUUCGGAAUAACUCCCCGAAAGGGGUGCUAAUACCGGAUAAUGUCUUCGGACCAAAGAUUUAUCGCCUUUGGAUGGGCCCGCGUUGGAUUAGCUAGUUGGUAGGGUAAAAGCCUACCAAGGCGACGAUCCAUAGCUGGUCUGAGAGGAUGAUCAGCCACACUGGGACUGAGACACGGCCCAGACUCCUACGGGAGGCAGCAGUGGGGAAUAUUGGAAGAUGGGCGAAAGCCUGAUCCAGCAAUGCCGCGUGAGUGAUGAAGGCCUUAGGGUUGUAAAGCUCUUUUACCCGGGAUGAUAAUGACAGUACCGGGAGAAUAAGCUCCGGCUAACUCCGUG
rnacentral:rRNA from 1 species